GACGAACGCUGGCGGCGUGCUUAACACAUGCAAGUCGAACGGUGAAGCUCCAGCUUGCUGGAGUGGAUCAGUGGCGAACGGGUGAGUAACACGUGAGCAACCUGCCCCAGACUCUGGAAUAAGCGCUGGAAACGGCGUCUAAUACUGGAUACGAGAUCAAGCCGCAUGGUUAUGGUCUGGAAAGUUUUUCGGUUUGGGAUGGGCUCGCGGCCUAUCAGCUUGUUGGUGAGGUAAUGGCUCACCAAGGCGACGACGGGUAGCCGGCCUGAGAGGGCGACCGGCCACACUGGGACUGAGACACGGCCCAGACUCCUCCGGGAGGCAGCAGUGGGGAAUAUUGCACAAUGGGCGAAAGCCUGAUGCAGCGACGCCGCGUGAGGGAUGACGGCCUUCGGGUUGUAAACCUCUUUCAGCAGGGAAGAAGCGAAAGUGACGGUACCUGCAGAAGAAGCACCGGCUAACUACGUG
rnacentral:rRNA from 1 species